rnacentral:tRNA from 1 species
GGGCGUAUAGCUCAGGGGUAGAGUGCGUGCCUAGCAAGCGCAAGGUCCUGGGUUCAGUCCUCAGUGCUCCCA